UUCUAUAAGUAAACCACAUCGGACUCUACAUCUCUCUCCCGACAAGACACUAAACUGAAAAGAGAUACAGAAAGAAACACAGAGAGGCCCUGACAAGAAAAAUAUAACAUAACUGAGAAAGAGUGAGUAAUGGGUUGUGUUGUUAAUCGAGAGAGUUACAAGAAGCUGGAGAGGAAGAAGAGCAACGUGUUGGUGGAGGGUUACGUGGAGACUCUCGCCACGCUGGAUAAUAAGGACGAUCUGACAAGAGCCAAGAGCUUGACUGAUGACGAUCUCGAAGAUCUCAAGGGUUGUCUAGAUCUUGGUUUUGGUUUCAGCUACGACGAGAUCCCUGAGCUUUGCAACACUCUACCUGCUUUAGAGCUUUGUUAUUCCAUGAGGCGGAGAUUCUCCGACGAUAAGAACAACAACAAGACACCGGAGAGUUCGUCGGUGGACGCUUCUCCUCCGUCGCCUCCGAUUGCUAACUGGAAGAUAUCUAGCCCUGGUGAUAAUCCGGAUGAUGUGAAAGCUAGGCUCAAGUACUGGGCACAAGCCGUUGCCUGUACUGUCCAGUUGUGCAAGUGAACGUAUUCAUUGUCAUGAUGCCUGAACUUUUAGAGGAGAUCCCAGGAAGGCAUUGGAAGUGGUGAGAGACGUGUGUGUUAUGAGAGCUAUCACUAUUUGGUUAUGGACCUCUCUACUUGAUGAGGUAACUAAUGCUAACUUGGAGCUGGAUCAACAUAACCUUUAUUUAUGAAGGCAAAUGACAUUACUACUAUACUCCAACUCGUUCCAUCUUCGUCAAUAUGGGUUGAAGUUUAACAAUCUAUGGCUAAAUUGCCUAUUUUUGUGAUGCUCCUUGGAGGAGGAAAAGAAAGAAAUAAAUGAUUUCAGAUGUUAUGUGUGUUCAUCUUCUUUGUGUUUUCAGUAACUGUCUUAAUUGGUGAAUAAGUUGAUGACUAUUUUCCUA